GGUUCAUGACCUGAGCCGAAGGCAGACGCUUAACGACUGAGCCACCCAGACACCCAUCACAGAUACACAACCGUUACCGAGCAUGACUUUUAUCACACCAUGUGGCACUCCCUGUGAGACUCUGACAACACUCAGGCUAUGCCCUGUCCAGCAGAGCAGUCCGUCACCCGGGGGCGGGGCUCCCACAGCAGUGUCUAAAUUGCGGAGCUGAAACCGACCCUCAGAGACACUGACUUACCCAAGGUCUCACUGCCAAUAAAGUGAAGACACUGGAUGAGGGCCAGUCUGCCUAGCCACCAUGUUCCCUUUCAGAACCUGCUCGCUGGACCCAUCCUUCCUCCCCUUCUCAGAGUGCUUCCCCAGGACGUGAGUGCUCCGCGGUGCCCCUUCUCCUCAGUUCCCACAGGGCCCUCUUUCUAGAGGCGCCUGGGCAGCUGAAGCCAGGGGGCACGUUUGCUGCUCUUUGCCCCAAGCACAAACAUCACUCCAGCCUAGGCUCUCUACCCUCUAAGGCCUGCCAGUAAGGUCCCGUCUGACAGGUGUCCCAGAGAGAGCGUUGGGGUGCAUGUGUGCAUGGGGGGGGGGAUGAGGCAGUGAGAACCUGACUUGUCGGCCAUGCUCAACUGUGCAGUAAGACUUGGAGCCUGACCCGGGGGUAGCCGGACAGAAAGGCCAGGAAGAAGGAGAUGAGACUUGUGCUGGUUUCCAAGAAGGAAAAGAGCCUGACUUUCAGAAUUCUCUGGCGAGGAGCCAGGUAGGGUUGAAACAGGAAACAGGGGAGUUGGUGCAGGUGAGAGGCAGGGUGUCCGGGGCCAGCAUAUGUGUGACGGGGGUGCUGGAUGAGCCCAGGGAUAGAGAGCCACACCCUAAUACAGUGCCCACCCAGCAGGGCCUCUCAGGCGUGACAGGGUCCUCCAGGCCUCAGGGAGCAGGGCUACCUGUAGGACAAGGCUGGGUGGGCCACAGGGACAGACAGGAAGGGGAGCCAGGCUCUGCUCCCAUGAGACAGGACAACUGUCUCUUUCCGGUGCUUGAUACUCUCAUUUCAGGGUCACGGCGAAGCCCCCGGUGCCGUUCAGAGUCUGCCCCUCCCGUCUCCAGCGACCAGGCAGGGCGUGGACCACCCAGGCAGCACUGCCCAGUCAGGAGGGGCCUUCCACCCCAUCCUGCAGGACAAGCAGCCCCGUCUGGGCACCACCUCUCAGCUCUCACCUUUGACGCACCCUGUGGAAGAGCAGGGUGGCCUACAGGUGGCUGGGCCAGCCUCAGAGCCACCCUACGGUUUUAACGGAGUGGGUGCAGGGAGGUGGGUAAGCCCCAGGGGCGCACUCCAGGGCAGAGAGCGGCCACCGAAGACCCUGGUUCUCUCUGCUGCAUCAGCCAGCAGCCUGGCACCGCGUGUGACCGUGUGAGACAGGCUGUGAGUGACAGGAGGUGCGUGCGUGAGUGUGUACAGAUGUCUGUGGACUCGCGAGCGUGAAUGUGUCAGAGUGUGAAGAGUGUGUGGAGGGGCGUGUGUGAGACUGCAUGUGCAGCUGUGGAAAAGUUCAGAACGUGGGGUUAGAGCAACAAAGAGAUCUUUACAAUCAGAGGUGGGCAGACACAGAGCCAAAGACAUGCUGAGAUCAAGAGAGGGAUUUGGAGAGGCAAAGGCCCCAGAGGCAGGCCGAGCACGACGACGAAGAGAGUGGAGGUCUGCAGAGACAGAGAGAAGACAGAGACACUGAGAGAGGCCGGUUGAGGAAGGAAAGCUGUACAAGGAUAGCUUCUGAGCAGAGGGGGCAGUCAGGGAGGGACGCCUGCGCAGCCCCUAGAUGGGGGCCCCCCUGAGAUGAACCGAAGGGUCAGCCUCACAGUGAGACCCGUCACCGUAACCCCAAACUUGGGGCUCUCUCUGUUGUAAGCGUUAGCCUUGGCCCCUGCUAUUAUGGAGGGGAAGGGUAGAGGCCGAGGGAGAGGGGAGAGUACUCGUGUCUGUUGAACAUGUGGAUGGGUUGGGUGGGGGCCUAUGUCUAUCCUGACCCCCUUCCUGACCCCCUUCCUCCCUCCCCUCUCCCUGCAUCCCGCCCAUCUCAGUCAUCCCAGAGACCACACCGACAGCCCCCACCGGGCUCCUCUCUGGCCAAGCACCAAUCCUGACACGACAUGUGUAUUCUGCUGACUUAAGUCUAAUUUACUUGGGAAA